UCAGGUGAGGGAUAAGGACAGAAAGAGCCUCGGGGAAAAGCCAGCCACUGCAAAAAUGCUUGGAAGAGAGCUCUUUCCAUCCAUCUGGGAUCAAGAAAUAAAGCCAAUUGUCCCCAAGAUUUUCUACGGAGCGAACAGGAGGAGGCCACGUCAGCACCAGAAAUUUAUCACCAUCUGCAAGGCACCACCACACAUUAUCCCUGUCAACAGCUCCCAGAAAUAUCCCAACAAGCUAGACAACCAGGGCUCAGGAAACAAGCAGGGUAUGCACCGAGACGUACUGCGCAGGAGGGUGGUACAGCCCAUCCCAAACACCAACAAAUCCAACAAACCCCGGUACCGUUAGCACCGCUUCCCACAGGUGCCACGAGGGAAGGCAGGAUGGGGGAUGCUCAGAUCCAAACGGCCUGCCGCUAAACCCGGCUGCACUGCUUUUGCUCCCUUUUCCCAAAGCUCUCAGAAACGCAAGCUGCAACUCCUCACCACGUUAUUCUGCUUUUCUCCGAGAGCAGAGAUGUAGCCGUGCACAAAGGAACCAGCAAAGGCACUGGAGCACCCAGAGUAUUUAAGCAAGUCUCUCCAAAUUCACUACCUUAACCGCUUUCUUCACCCUAAGACAAAUCAGAGGGAAUUUCCUUCUGAAAUGCCACAAAAGCCUGCCAGGCUUUGAGGAGCAGAAAUUAAGGCGGCAGGGAAGGAGCACUAAUACGAAAUUUGGUGUGUGCGUUGCCUUUGCUCUAGACAGAGUAAAGCCACAGCGUAUCAGCAGUUUUGCCUUUAAUCAGGACUAGCACAUUGGCCUCAAAACGUCACAAUCAGGUACACUAUAAAUAAAAGGAUGCUACUACAGGGGCAAAGCCGAGCUGUGAAAAGUUCCUGCAGAGCAUCAAGCCCCUGCAAAACCCUUCUCUCCAGCCAGCCAAGCAGGUCUUGCCUUCAGAAGGGACACCCUUUACACUGCCACUGAAAAGGUUUGGAAAGGACAAGCUACAAGCAGAAGAACCAUCUCCGCCUGGAGAACAGCAGAUACGCAACCUGUGCCAACCGCUAACCAACAGGUCCUCGCUCAAGUGACAAAGCAGACCUGUACUCAGCACCGAGCAAAACGCUCCUGCUACCCAUGGGUUUGCACCCCCCAGGAGACUCUUGGUAUCAAAAGGAAUUUAAGCUGUACGUAAAAACGAUGAAAAAUAUUGUAUGACACAGCAGUGACACGUACCUAACACUGCCUUUACUCAGCCUGCCCAACAGAGCAGGUUACAGGGAGGAGAGCGGCUACAGAGCCAGCAUCUGUACUUAGAAGAAAAUGGCUCAAGUCUCAGGCCAAGUGCUUGCAGUCCAUUCAAAACAGUCUGGAUUUUCAAUCUUACUUUGAAAACAAAAAGCAAAAACUAUUAAGUCAUUAUGUAAAACCUCAGGACUUUUAUUUUUUUGGGUGAGUAGGGACUUUGAAGAAAUUGAGGAAUCCACACGGUCAGAGCUAGGGAUCCAGUGGCAGCUGAAGCAGAGCUGGUUUUAGAGACAAGCAAUUCAAGCAGCUGCUCAAGGGGACCUCUCCCAUCCGUUUAGGCUGCUAGGGAGAAUACACAGCAGCCAACAUACCGCCUGCACCAGCCUAACAGCAAGCUCCAAGAUAAACUGGCCACCCAGUCUGCAAGGAAUACCUAAUGUCUUUAGGUAUUCCAGAAAUCCGCAUCGUCAAGCUGGAAACCUCUGUCUGCAAGAUUAAGCACAUUCUCUUCUGCACACAGCUCAGCAGCUGCAGCCAGGGGCCGAGACACCCGAUUUUAGCUUCAGCUUCACCUCUCUGCCCACACACCAAGGUUCAGAGAACUGCCCCCCUUCCUCCCUCCCAGCCCUGCCUAACGGGGGGGUGAUUCAAGUCAACUCUUCCCUCUGCUGAUGGCGACAGCAACACCUCUAACAGGCUGCUCAGAAACAACCUGCUUUUUAUAGCUUAUUCACUGGAACAGUAAUAGCACUUCAGAUCCUCACCUCUAACACUGAGGCAGGUUUUCCACUACUGACAAAGCCGUAGGAAACAAAGAAAAAAAGUGCCCUCAAUCACCUUCACAUUCCCAGGGGUUUGUAAAACUAUAUCCAAAGAGACGGGAAUUAAUCCUGUGAGUGACAAGACCUUCUGCUCAAAGUCUCUGCUGGAGACUCAGUUCUCAUGCAGCUCGAGGGAACACUCAAGAGCCAGAGGUGGCAAAAAGCCCUUGCGAGAAUAAAAGCUGCUUGCAGUCAGCGAAACGAGGCAGUGACUGAAACUUCUCCGCAGAAGGGGCCUGAAUCCGCCCAGCACAACACAUGUACAGACACAUUUACAAACCAAAACCUGCAGAUGUAAAGGCAGAGUUUUGUUAGACACUGAUCUGGCUGGUAGUGGGAAAAGAAACCUGGAGUUUAUCGUGACAGCCAGAGACCAACUGCAACAAAGGAGGUGUUCUGCUUGUAACCAAGAGCUUCCUUACAAACUGCUCUUUUCUCUCCGCACAAGGAUCCCCAUCACCUCUUCCUACACAGGAUUAAUAACACAGGCUGAUGCAAAUGCCGAUUUAUAGCACAACCCACAGUCUGUAGAUAACCACUGGCCAGGAUUCUCCUGCACAGAACAGUCUAUGGGGAAUUUGCUUCUCCUCGUCUGCAGCCCACACUCCCCAGCAGAGCUCAGAUCUGCCACACAGAGUGCAGUUAUCACGGAAAUAAAUCAGACCCAGGAGCUUUCUGUGGAAGCAGCCAUUAUCUGAGAUGAAACAAGUACAACUAGAAAGGGAACAGAAAGGUCCUGUGAGUGGAGCAGCAGCACCCACCUGUCAGCACCAACCCUAAAAGGUGCCAGAACCAGCCACAGCGAUGUUAGGAGAAUCCCUCAUUGUUCCUUCAGACUGCGUGGGGCUCCCUGAUACAAGAAUGACAAAUAACUGGGGUCACAUCAGCACCAGCAACAUAUGGCACCUUCUGCUGCCCAUCACAGACAGGAGUCAGCAGACUGCAGCUGGUUUUCUUUCCUCUCCUUCCUUUACAUUUGCAGACCCACUUUAAAAGAUCUGAGGUGAAUCUUC
rnacentral:lncRNA from 1 species